rnacentral:rRNA from 1 species
AGGGUGUAAACGCUGCAGACUUGGUGUUGGGAACCCUUCGGGGGUGCUCAGUGCCGGAGAGAAGUUGUUAAGUCUGCUACUUGGGGAGUACGUCCGCAAGGAUGAAACUUAAAGGAAUUGGCGGGGGAGCACCGCAACGGGAGGAGCGUGCGGUUUAAUUGGAUUCAACGCCGAAAAACUCACCAGCAGCGACUGUUACAUGAAAGUCAGGUUGAUGACCUUACUAGAUCUUCAGAGAGGUGGUGCAUGGCGUCAGUGACU